AUACAUAUAUAUGUAUACAUACAUACACACACACAUAUAUAUGUAUACAUGUAUAUGUAUAUGUAUAUGUAU